rnacentral:rRNA from 1 species
GAUGAACGCUGGCGGCGUGCCUAAUACAUGCAAGUCGAGCGAACAGACGAGGAGCUUGCUCCUCUGACGUUAGCGGCGGACGGGUGAGUAACACGUGGAUAACCUACCUAUAAGACUGGGAUAACUUCGGGAAACCGGAGCUAAUACCGGAUAACAUGUUGAACCGCAUGGUUCAACAGUGAAAGACGGUCUUGCUGUCACUUAUAGAUGGAUCCGCGUCGCAUUAGCUAGUUGGUAAGGUAACGGCUUACCAAGGCAACGAUGCGUAGCCGACCUGAGAGGGUGAUCGGCCACACUGGAACUGAGACACGGUCCAGACUCCUACGGGAGGCAGCAGCAGGGAAUCUUCCGCAAUGGGCGAAAGCCUGACGGAGCAACGCCGCGUGAGUGAAGAAGGUCUUCGGAUCGUAAAACUCUGUUAUUAGGGAAGAACAAAUGUGUAAGUAACUAUGCACGUCUUGACGGUACCUAAUCAGAAAGCCACGGCUAACUACGUG